GAUGAACGCUAGCGGGAGGCCUAACACAUGCAAGCCGAGCGGUAUUAUUUCUUCGGAAAUGAGAGAGCGGCGUGCGGGUGCGGAACACGUGUGCAACCUGCCUUUAUCUGGGGGAUAGCCUUUCGAAAGGAAGAUUAAUACUCCAUAAUAUAUUGAACGGCAUCGUUUAAUAUUGAAAGCUCCGGCGGAUAGAGAUGGGCACGCGCAAGAUUAGCUAGUUGGUGAGGUAACGGCUCACCAAGGCGAUGAUCUUUAGGGGGCCUGAGAGGGUGAGCCCCCACACUGGUACUGAGACACGGACCAGACUCCUACGGGAGGCAGCAGUGAGGAAUAUUGGUCAAUGGGUGCAAGCCUGAACCAGCCAUCCCGCGUGAAGGACGACUGCCCUAUGGGUUGUAAACUUCUUUUGUAUAGGGAUAAACCUACUCUCGUGAGGGUAGCUGAAGGUACUAUACGAAUAAGCACCGGCUAACUCCGUGCCAGCAGCCGCGGUAACAC
rnacentral:rRNA from 1 species